UUAAAUUGAAGAGUUUGAUCAUGGCUCAGAUUGAACGCUGGCGGCAGGCCUAACACAUGCAAGUCGAACGGUAACAGGAAGAAGCUUGCUUCUUUGCUGACGAGUGGCGGACGGGUGAGUAAUGUCUGGGAAACUGCCUGAUGGAGGGGGAUAACUACUGGAAACGGUAGCUAAUACCGCAUAACGUCGCAAGACCAAAGAGGGGGACCUUCGGGCCUCUUGCCAUCGGAUGUGCCCAGAUGGGAUUAGCUUGUUGGUGGGGUAACGGCUCACCAAGGCGACGAUCCCUAGCUGGUCUGAGAGG
rnacentral:rRNA from 1 species